rnacentral:rRNA from 1 species
AGAGAGAGACAUGCGCGCAUAUCAAUAAGCGGAGGAAAAGAAACUAACAAGGAUUCCCUUAGUAACGGCGAGUGAAGCGGGAAGAGCUCAAAUUUGAAAUCUUCAAGGUUCUACCUUGACGAAUUGUAGUUUAUAGAAGUGUUUUCUGUUAGUGGAGUGGCAAAAGUUCUUUGGAAUAGGACAUCAUAGAGGGUGAGAAUCCCGUAUUUGGUCAUUCCUCCUAGCGUUGUGAUACACUUUCAACGAGUCGGAUUGUUUGGGAUUGCAGUCCAAAAUGGGUGGUAAAUUUCAUCUAAAGCUAAAUAUUGGCGAGAGACCGAUAGCGAACAAGUACCGUGAGGGAAAGAUGAAAAGAACUUUGAAAAGAGAGUUAAACAGUACGUGAAAUUGUCAAAAGGGAAGCGUUUGACACCAGUGUUGUUUUUCCGAAAAUCAAUUACGAAUGUUUUGUUUUUGAGGAGUUAUGACUUCAUCGGCUUGCUCCUUUCUUUACGAAACUUUCUUAAUGCACUUUUCGGUUAACAAGUCAACAUCAAUUUCUUUUGUUGUAAAAGGGUAUGAGGAAGGUGGCUUUCUUUUCGGAGAAAGUGUUUAUAGCCUUGUACCUCUGCAAUCGGAGAGAUUGAGGUCUGCAGCGUAGAUCCCUCGGGGUUAGAUACAUUUGUGCUAAGUUAUAGCUUUUCAUAGACAACUUGUUGACUAUGUUUAGUCUUGUAGCUUACUCGCUUAUGCUAUUUUACCUACGCUUAGGAUGUUGAUCUGUAGUGCGUGCGC